rnacentral:tRNA from 2 species
CGCGCCCCUGAUAAUUGCGUCGUUGUGCCUGGGCUGUGGAUGGCCCAGCUGCGCCAAAGAAAAGAAAAGAAU